rnacentral:rRNA from 1 species
GACAGAGGUGCCAAGCGUUAGGCGGAAUCACUGGGCUUAAAGCGUGUGUAGGCGGAAGCGUAAGUGCCUUGUGAAAUCCCACGGCUCAACCGUGGAACUGCUGGGCAUACUGCGUUUCUUGAGCCAGCCAGGGGUCGUCGGAACAAACGGUGGAGCGGUGAAAUGCGUAGAUAUCGUUUGGAACGCCGACGGUGAAAACAGAUGACUGGGGACCUGCUGACGCUGAGACACGAAAGCCAGGGGAGCAAACGGG